rnacentral:rRNA from 1 species
ACGUAGGAGGCAAGCGUUAUUCGGAUUUACUGGGCGUAAAGCGCGUGCAGGCGGUUUGGAAGGUUGGAUGUGAAAGCUCCUGGCUCAACUGGGAGAGGUCGUUCAAAACUUCCAGACUUGAGAGUGGUAGAGGGAGGUGGAAUUCCGGGUGUAGUGGUGAAAUGCGUAGAUAUCCGGAGGAACACCAGUGGCGAAAGCGGCCUCCUGGACCGCUUCUGACGCUCAGACGCGAAAGCUAGGGUAGCAAACGG